CCUACGAGUGGCAGCAGUAGGGAAUAUUCCACAAUGAGCGAAAGCUUGAUGGAGCGACACAGCGUGCACGAUGAAGGUCUUAUGGAUUGUAAAGUGCUGUUGCAAGGGAAGAAAAAGUAGUUGAGGAAAUGCUUCUACAUUGACGGUACCUUGUUAGAAAGCGAUGGCUAACUAUGUGCCAGCAGCCGCGGUAAUACAUAGGUCGCAAGCGUUAUCCGGAAUUAUUGGGCGUAAAGCGUUCGUAGGCUGUUUAUUAAGUCUGGGGUAAAAUCCCAGGGCUCAACCCUGGCUCGCUUUGGAUACUGGUAAACUAGAGUUGGAUAGAGGUAAGCGGAAUUCCAUGUGAAGCGGUGAAAUGCGUAGAUAUAUGGAAGAACACCAAAGGCGAAGGCAGCUUACUGGGUUUAUACUGACGCUGAGGAACGAAAGCGUGGGGAGCAAACAGGAUUAGAUACCCGUGUAGUC
rnacentral:rRNA from 1 species